CCCAGACUCCUACGGGAGGCAGCAGUGGGGAAUAUUGGACAAUGGGGGGAACCCUGAUCCAGCGACGCCGCGUGAGUGAAGAAGUAUUUCGGUAUGUAAAGCCCUAUCAGCAGGGAAGAAAGAAAUGACGGUACCUGACUAAGAAGCCCCGGCUAACUACGUGCCAGCAGCCGCGGUAAUACGUAGGGGGCGAGCGUUAUCCGGAUUCACUGGGUGUAAAGGGAGCGUAGACGGCCAUGCAAGCCAGGGGUGAAAGCCCGGGGCCCAACCCCGGGACUGCCCUUGGAACUGCAUGGCUGGAGUGCGGGAGGGGCAGGCGGAAUUCCUGGUGUAGCGGUGAAAUGCGUAGAUAUCAGGAGGAACACCAGUGGCGAAGGCGGCUUACUGGACUGUAACUGACGUUGAGGCUCGAAAGCGUGGGGAGCAAACAGGAUUAGAUACCCCUGUAU
rnacentral:rRNA from 1 species